UUUGUCCUCACAACAAGGCUGUGCGGUAGCUUAGGCUGUCAGUCAGUGACUGGCCCAAAGUCACCCAGAGGCAGUUAUUCCUGGAGCGCUUUCCGGGGCCAGGGUGGCACUGACUCGUCCAAUGAGGGGCCUGGAAAAUGGGGUCUGAGGCCACAAACAUGGCGGAGAAGAAAAGGUUACCUCGAGGGCGCUGUCUCCAGGUGUUCAGGCAGAUCUUGGGACCCAAUAAGCCUGGACAAAGCAUCGGCCCUCGGAAAAUGCCACGCCCUGUGCCCUGGAAGAAGGCAUGUCACAGAUGCAGGGGGUUCGCCAACCGGCAGCCUCCUCAACCAGCAGGCGCUCCUCCACUGCAUCUCUGCGCUGCAGGCGACCCGGCCGGGCCAGCCCAAGGCGCUCUGCUGCCUGAGCUGAAGGGCCAGAUGGCUCCCGCUGCCAUGGCAGGUGGCCUACAAAUACCAUCAUUCCCUGCCAGAGUAGCCCACGGGAGUCACAGGACAAGCGAUCUGGAGGCCACAGGUUGCCCACCCCUGUGGCACGCAGCCUUCCCCUGGCCACCCCAUCUUCCACAGAGAGUGCAAAGGCGCCACUGGGCAAGGAAGCGCUGCCCGCAACUCAGGCAAAGACGGCUCGGUCCACCGUAACCUGAGGGCUGGGUGUGAAAACCCAGCGGCCCACAGCAAAUGCAGCCUCAGGUGUAAGCCAUGCCGUGUGGGGUGAUGGGAGCUGAAGUCCUAAAUACCUGGAGUGCGCUGGGCUGGUGAAGACAGGACGCCGCCCCCCACUGUCUCCUAAAAGGUCUGACUGAUCCCGCCAUCUCACCUGGACAGGUGGACACGCUUCUCUGUGAACUGGCCUCGGCCGUGGACAGGAUCUUCAUGAGAUGAGGUCUCUUGCAUCAGUCCUGCUUGAGGGAUCCUCUGGGCAGCUGGUUUGCCACCAUGCACAUGGACUAGAUGGGCCCACCAUGUGCCCCAGGACCCAAGCAACCAAACCAGCGUCCAAAUGUUAAGCCACGUCCAGUUCCGCAAUCCAGAGCCACAGUCGGGAAGAGCGGAGACAGAAGGCAAGCACAGUCCAGCAAACGACAGCACAGUCCAGCAAACGGCAGCAUAGUCAAGGCAAGCCGCAAGUCAGAAACCGGGGACGCGAGCCACAGGUGGAGAUACCUGGAGCCCAGAGCCGGGGCAGGGGCGCCAGUGCUGCCAACCGGGAGGCACAUGGCAAGUCAGAAGACCCUCACGGCUGAGGCGGCUUCCGGAGGGAGGAGUCCGUGCUCCCCCCAGGCCCCCAGCCGGUGCUCGCGGGGCCACGGCGGCUGCGGAGACUGCGCGCGCGAUCCCGCAACUGCCAGGCCGGCUAUGCUGGUCCUUGGCCAGCAGGGGGAGCCGCGAAGCUGCCUCAGAGCCUGACUGGACGAGAGGGGCCCCGGCUCAGACCCGGCAGGGCUUUGCCGGUGUUCUUGCUUUCAAUUCCAGUCUAAUGCAGCACAGCAGCUACGCAGCGCUGGCGCGGACUUGACUGUGGAGCCUGCCGCCAGCCCCUCAGAAAUAGGCGGGUGCUGCUCCGACUGACCUUACCGGGCUACUGUAAAAGUGACUCGGACAAUACUCCGAAAGCACAAGAAUGCCCUCCUGCACACCAGCCUAUCCCACCCUGGUGCAACUACCAGAUGUGUUGGACUGCAACUUCCAUCAUCCCCAGCCAGCAUAACCGAAGGCUGAUAUAUUUAUUUAACUAUGCAUUUAUAAACUGCUUCGGGCUACACACUUCCAAUGCACUUUCCAAGGAGUGAGUCUUGUACUCGAUGCAGCUUGCUUCUCAGUGGGCAUGUAAUGGAUUGUGCUGCAAAGCACUUGCAAAUGCUAAUUCUGAUUAGCACUUUAAAGCCUUUCUUGUCAAAAAUUAAUAGCUUCAAUCCAUAAAACAAUGUUUGCUGAA